GGAGAAAUGGCUGAGUGGUUUAAAGCGAUGGAUUGCUAAUCCGUUAUAUAAAGUAUUUUUGUAUCGAGGGUUCAAAUCCCUUUUUCUCCU
rnacentral:tRNA from 1 species